GGGAGGGGAGCUGAGGGCAACUCUUGGCCAGCAGACCCUGAGUCAUCCAGGGAAGCCAAGCCAAGCCCAGAGAGGCUGAACCUGGGCAGACAGGUGUCCAGGGCCACCCAGGAGAUAAAAUCUGGGCAGGCUGGAUCCACCGGUGGUUAACAAUGGACAACAGCUGUGGGUCGGCUCCUAUCUACUCUGCCCACCUCGGGCUGUAGCUGCCACACCUUUGGGCCAGAGAAGAGGAUGGACAUAGAAGAAGGACUUGUUUCUCAGGAUGGAAAAAGUGCCAAAUUUUCUGGAGGCUCACCAUCCCUCUGGCAGAGAGUAAAGCACACAGAAGAGCCAGAGAACCCCUCCUGGGAGGAUGGAAGAUACCAGUCAGGACUCACAUAGCGUCCAGGGAUGGAGGGCAAGAUGGCAGAGGGCAAAAGGAAGGAGCCACUGGAAUGCUUCCAAGUCCUCUGAAGCUUCCGGAUGAAGGCUGAGCUUGGCAAAUGGCAGUGAGCCCUGAAGGACUUUUUCUUUCACGCUGGACUCAGGAACGUGAGCCUUAAGAUGUGUUGAAUUUAAAUAAAAAUUAUUUGGC
rnacentral:lncRNA from 1 species